UACGAAAGGGGCUAGCGUUGUUCGGAAUCACUGGGCGUAAAGCGCACGUAGGCGGAUUGUUAAGUCGGGGGUGAAAUCCUGAGGCUCAACCUCAGAACUGCCUCCGAUACUGGCAAUCUCGAGUUCGGAAGAGGUUGGUGGAACAGCUAGUGUAGAGGUGAAAUUCGUAGAUAUUAGCUAGAACACCAGUGGCGAAGGCGGCCAACUGGUCCGAUACUGACGCUGAGGUGCGAAAGCGUGGGGAGCAAACAGG
rnacentral:rRNA from 1 species